rnacentral:rRNA from 4 species
UGACUGCGGAAGGAUCAUUA